GAUGAACGCUGGCGGCGUGCCUAAUACAUGCAAGUCGAGCGAACAGACGAGGAGCUUGCUCCUCUGACGUUAGCGGCGGACGGGUGAGUAACACGUGGAUAACCUACCUAUAAGACUGGGAUAACUUCGGGAAACCGGAGCUAAAACCGGAUAAUAUAUUGAACCGCAUGGUUAAAUAGUCAAAGACGGUUUUGCUGUCACUUAUAGAUGGAUCCGCGCCGCAUUAGCUAGUUGGUAAGGUAACGGCUUACCAAGGCAACGAUGCGUAGCCGACCUGAGAGGGUGAUCGGCCACACUGGAACUGAGACACGGUCCAGACUCCUACGGGAGGCAGCAGUAGGGAAUCUUCCGCAAUGGGCGAAAGCUUGACGGAGCAACGCCGCGUGAGUGAUGAAGGUCUUCGGAUCGUAAAACUCUGUUAUUAGGGAAGAACAAAUGUGUAAGUAACUAUGCACGUCUUGACGGUACCUAAUCAGAAAGCCACGGCUAACUACGUG
rnacentral:rRNA from 1 species